AACCCGACUCCAUGAAGCUGGAUUCGCUAGUAAUCGCGCAUCAGCCACGGCGCGGUGAAUACGUUCCCGGGCCUUGUACACACCGCCCGUCAAGCCAUGGGAGCCGGGGGCGCCUGAAGUCCGGGACCGCGAGGACCGGCCUAGGGCGAAACUGGUAACUGGGGCGUAAGUCGUAACAAGGUAUC
rnacentral:rRNA from 1 species